rnacentral:rRNA from 1 species
CCCUUAGAUGUCCCGGGCCGCACGCGUGCUACACUGAUGCAUACAGCGAGUACUUUCCAGCUCCGCGAGGCAGCUGGUAAUCAGCAAUAUGCAUCGUGCUGGGGAUAGAUCUUUGGAAUUAUAGAUCUUGAACGAGGAAUUCCCAGUAAGCGCGAGUCAUAAGCUCGCGUUGAUUACGUCCCUGCCCUUUGUACACACCGCCCGUCGCUACUACCGAUUGGAUGGUUUAGUGAGAUCCUUGGAUUGGUCCUGGCGUGGCGGGUCACCGCCGUGCCAGUGUGCCGAGAAGACGAUCGAACUUGAUCAUCUAGAGGAAGUAAAAGUCGUAACA